UACGUAGGUCCCGAGCGUUGUCCGGAUUUAUUGGGCGUAAAGCGAGCGCAGGUGGUUUAUUAAGUCUGGUGUAAAAGGCAGUGGCUCAACCAUUGUAUGCAUUGGAAACUGGUAGACUUGAGUGCAGGAGAGGAGAGUGGAAUUCCAUGUGUAGCGGUGAAAUGCGUAGAUAUAUGGAGGAACACCGGUGGCGGAAGCGGCUUUCUGGCCUGUAACUGACACUGAGGCUCGAAAGCGUGGGGAGCAAACAGG
rnacentral:rRNA from 1 species